rnacentral:rRNA from 1 species
GACGAACGCUGGCGGCGUGCUUAACACAUGCAAGUCGAACGGAAAGGCCCUGCUUUUGUGGGGUGCUCGAGUGGCGAACGGGUGAGUAACACGUGAGUAACCUGCCCUUGACUUUGGGAUAACUUCAAGAAACUGGGGCUAAUAUCGGAUAGGAGCUCCUGCUGCAUGGUGGGGGUUGGAAAGUUUCGGCGGUUGGGGAUGGACUCGCGGCUUAUCAGCUUGUUGGUGGGGUAGUGGCUUACCAAGGGUUUGACGGGUAGCCGGCCUGAGAGGGUGACCGGCGACAUUGCGACUGCGGUACGGCCCAGACUCCUACGGGAGGCAGCAGUAGGGAAUAUUACACAAUAAGCGGGAGCCUGAUGCAGCAGCGCCGCGUGCGGAAAGACGGGCUACGGGUUGUAAACAGCUGUCGACUGAGACGAAGCGUGAGUGACGGUAAUGGGUAAAGAAGCACCGGCUAACUACGUG